CGCGCCGGGAAACCUCUGGGUCCUAGAGCCUGCGCAGCCGGGUGAGCGGCCCCUGACUCUCGGGAGCAAAAGAGGAGGCCCCGUAGCCCCAUCCAGUGCCUGCCUACUCAGAAAUUCUUUCUACCCCAAGGUGAAGUGAAGACAGCAAGCUAGACUCCGAAACUGUCAUUACCUGUCUUCGAAUUAAGGUGCAAGGUGCCUUUUCUGAGGAAAGGAACACAGGAGACAAAGGAAAUAUUAUCAGCAGUUAAUAAAAGAAUACUGUCCUCUGACUUCAUAAGUAUACCUCCACUGAAACUCAGACACGUACAUGGCAUAUGAAAACGAUUGAAGAGAAGACGACCUGCCACAGUCUACGGAGGCACUCCAGGAAUCAGUGGAAGCAGGUCUGAUAAGAAGCUCUAGAAAAGGACUCUUUGAAAAUCAUAUGAAAUGUAAGAAGAACAUGGGCAGGGGGAGAGAAACCAUCAAAAUGGCAGCAAUUUGAAAACAUUAAAAUAAAGUAUCUUAAGCCAGCA